UACAGAGGGUGCAAGCGUUAAUCGGAGUUACUGGGCGUAAAGGGCGCGUAGGCGGUAGUAUGGGUGUGAUGUGAAAGCCCUGGGCUUAACCUAGGAAGUGCAUCGCAAACUAUACAACUGGAGUACAAGAGAGGGUGGCGGAAUUUCCGGUGUAGCGGUGAAAUGCGUAGAGAUCGGAAGGAACGUCAAUGGCGAAGGCAGCCACCUGGCUUGAUACUGACGCUGAAGCGCGAAAGCGUGGGGAGCGAACAGG
rnacentral:rRNA from 1 species